AACACACUCUUCAUCAUCACACAAGACUAAACUACAACUAUGAACAACAUCAUCAUCUUCAUCUGGACUCUGACUCUCUGCAUUCAGGAGAUCUGGGGACAAGUGACAGUGACUCAGAGUCCAGCAAUGAAACCCAUCAAACAAGGAGAAACUGUUACAAUCAGCUGUAAAACCAGUCAGCCGAUCUCUGGCUGUAGUGACUGUGUGUCCUGGUAUCAGCAGAAACCUGGAGAAGCUCCUAAACUCCUGAUUUAUUACAUAAGAACCCUUCAGUCUGGAACUCCAUCUAGAUUCAGUGGCAGUGGAUCUAACUAUGGCAGUGAUUUUACUCUGACCAUCAGUGGAGUCCAGACUGAAGAUACAGGAGAUUAUUACUGUCAGAGUUUUCACUAUCCAAACAGUGUUCGUGUGUUCACACAGUGAUAAAGAGUCGUACAAAAACCUCUGUCAGUCAGACGUCACAGUGACUGCACUGAUACAGCUGAGAGAAACUGCAGCUGCUGAUGGAGGAGCACAAACUACACAAUAUCAAUGUUUAGCAAACUUUCUAAAGACUUUAAAGGUAAAUGUAAUAUAAGAUUUUAUUUAUGCUAAAAUACAUUAACCCAGUUCAUUGUUCAUUGACUAUUUCUGCCAUUCAUGUGUGUAUCUCUCUCAAAUG